CAGGGCUAGCUUGUGACCAUGACAGUGCGAACAUGAGCUAAGCCCCGCGUGCCGGGAGCCCAUGUCCUGUCCAAGCCUCAUACCGGCACCGCUGUCACCAAGCCUCCCGGGAGGUGGGGCCCAGAGAGGGUUAGUGACCUGCCCCGAGCACACAGCCACCGGGAGCCGGAGCCUCAGCACCUGGCUGCAGACAAUCUCUGCUCACCAUGUCUGCCUCUCUUCCUUUUUCUAGCUUCUACCUGAUACGUGGGACUGUCUCUCCAAGAGCCCUCUGGAAACACGCUGCUUCUCUGCAAGGGAGAAGCCAAGCCAGAAAACACAUGUCGGGAGCCUCCAGAGACACGUGCAUGGCCUUCAAGAUCGAGUGCAGUGUGCAGACCCGUGUUACUUAAACGUUCCGAAUAUGUGAUUUCCUAACAAGAGAGAAAGGGAAGACGACCGGCAGCUGUGUUCCUGAAGUCACCGUGAAACGUGCAUGUUCAGCAUCCUGCAUGAAACUUCUUUCUCAAAACCCCGGUGUCACCACCGAGGCUGCAGUGUGGCGGCCACCGCACAUCAGCCAUUGGAACGAGAGGAACGGCAGGAAGGAAGGGUGGACGGCGCCCACGCUGAGGAGGACACGUGAGGAAUUCCGGAAUCUCUCGAAUCUCGAGGUGACACUGGUCGUUUCUUCUGCUCUCCCACAUCGUAGGGGAAUGUCCAGCCGAGGCGACAGGCAGUCUGCAGCCCCGGGACACCUGCCUCUGCCUGGAUUCGGAGCCAGCCCCCUCCGGUGAGUACAGAAUCCAUCUCG